CUUGAAGACCGCUAGGGUUCCGGGCUCCGCGCAGUUGACCACCGACUGACGCGGAGCCGUCUGGUCCGAGAGCAGUCGGCCACCAUCGCGUGGUUCCACGGAGGGACAAAAGCCCGGGAGAC
rnacentral:sRNA from 2 species